rnacentral:rRNA from 1 species
AGCGAACGCUGGCGGCAGGCCUAACACAUGCAAGUCGAACGAACCUUUCGGGGUUAGUUGCGGUCGGGUGAGGAACACGGGGGAACGUUCCGUUAGGUACGGAAUACUUCAGUUAAGCUUGUGCUAAUACCGAAUGUGCCCUUCGGGGAAAAGAUUAAUCGCCUUUAGAGCGGCCCGGGUCUGUUUAGCUAGUUGGUUGUGGUAAUGGCUCACCAGGGCGACGAUCAGUAGCUGGUCGGAGAGGAUGAUCAGCCACAUUGGGACUGAGACACGGCCCAAACUACUACGCGAGGCAGGAGUGGCGGAUCUAGCGCAAUGGGGGAAGGCCUGAAGCCGCCAUGGCGCGUGAAUGAUGAAGGUGUUAGGAUAGUGAAAUUCUUUAACCGGGGGCGAUAAUGACGGUACCCGGAGAAGAAGCACCGGCUAACUUCGUG